UACGGAGGGGGCUAGCGUUGUUCGGAAUUACUGGGCGUAAAGCGCGCGUAGGCGGCUUGCCAAGUUGGGGGUGAAAUCCCAGGGCUCAACCCUGGAACUGCCCUCAAAACUGGUUCGCUAGAGUCCGGGAGAGGUGAGUGGAAUUCCCAGUGUAGAGGUGAAAUUCGUAGAUAUUGGGAAGAACACCAGUGGCGAAGGCGGCUCACUGGACCGGUACUGACGCUGAGGCGCGAAAGCGUGGGGAGCAAACAGG
rnacentral:rRNA from 1 species